UACGGAGGGGGCUAGCGUUGCUCGGAAUGACUGGGCGUAAAGCGCGCGUAGGCGGAACGGUAAGUUGGGGGUGAAAGCCCAGGGCUCAACCCUGGAACGGCCUUCAAGACUGCCGAUCUGGAGUUCGGGAGAGGUGGGUGGAAUUCCGAGUGUAGAGGUGAAAUUCGUAGAUAUUCGGAGGAACACCAGUGGCGAAGGCGGCCCACUGGCCCGACACUGACGCUGAGGCGCGAAAGCGUGGGGAGCAAACAGG
rnacentral:rRNA from 1 species